rnacentral:rRNA from 1 species
AGUGAACGCUGGCGGUAGGCCUAACACAUGCAAGUCGAACGGCAGCACAGUAAGAGCUUGCUCUUACGGGUGGCGAGUGGCGGACAGGUGAGGAAUACAUCGGAAUCUACUUUUUCGUGGGGGAUAACGUAGGUAAACUUACGCUAAUACCGCAUACGACCUACGGGUGAAAGCAGUGGAUCUUCGGACCUUGCGCGAUUGAAUGAGCCGAUGUCGGAUUAGCUAGUUGGCGGGGUAAAGGCCCACCAAGGCGACGAUCCGUAGCUGGUCUGAGAGGAUGAUCAGCCACACUGGAACUGAGACACGGUCCAGACUCCUACGGGAGGCAGCAGUGGGGAAUAUUGGACAAAGGGCGCAAGCAUGAUCCAGCCAUACCGCGUGGGUGAAGAAGGCCUUCGGGUUGUAAAGCCCUUUUGUUGGGAAAGAAAAGCAGCAGGUUAAUACCACGCUGUUCUGACGGUACCCAAAGAAUAAGCACCGGCUAACUUCGUG